UUUUUUUUUGAGACGGAGUCUCGCUCUGCUGCCCAGGCUGGAGUGCAGUGGCACGAUCUUGGCUCACUGCAACCUCUACCUCCCGCGUUCAAGCGAUUCUCCUGUGUUAGCCUCUUGAGUAGCUGGGACUACAGGCACCUGCCACCACGCCCAGCUAAUUUUUGUAUUUUUAGUAGAGACAGGGUUUCACCAUGUUGGCCAGGCUAGUCUCAAUCUCCUGACUUUGUGAUCCACUCACCUCGGUUUCCCAAAGUGCUGGGAUUACAGGCAUGAGCCACCACAUCCAGCCUAGCUCCUGGCUAUUUCAUCCUGCAGCUUCAUCCACAGGAGAGAGGCCCUCCACCCCCGCUCUCCUCCAGUCGCCAUCCGAAAUCCUCAGAAGGAGCCAUUGGUCCACCUUGUAAUACGGCUGCUUCUACUGCAGUCCCUUGAUGGGGGUGAAGGUGCAGCAUGACAUGACAGUCCCAAAAGAAGGGAACUGCUGCAAAGGGCCAGAAUAAGUGAGAUUUAUCACCUCAUCUUGGUUCUCAGUUCCACCAAUCCCAGCCCCAUCUAGCAAAGCAAGAAUUCCCCUGUUGUGUCCCAGCUAUGCCCCAAGAUGAAGGCUACAGUCUGUUUUCCACAAGCCACUUUUGGAAUCCUUACCAAGUAUUGGCUUGCAAUACAAAGGAUCCCUUUUCUAUUACUAUGUAACUAAAAAAAAAAAAAUUGAACUGCCCAAUCUGAAGAGUCCCUGUGUCUUAGAAAAAGGCUUUGUUCUGUAUUCUGGAUGAGGCCAAUCCUCAACAAAAGCCAAUUUAACAGAGAAGUUAACUUCACAGGUUCUGGAGUUAAUUUAGGGAUGAGUUCAAAUCCCUGCUCCAACAAUUAUAGGUGUAUGACACACAGCCUCGGCUUUACUCUCUAUAAAUGAAGAUAACUGAUAGUCACUUCCUGAUGUUGGUGUGAGGAUAAUUUUGGGCAAUGCAUGAAUAGCACUUAACAUGGUACCUGGGACACAAGAGGCCUUUAAUGGCACUGGAUAGACUUGGUCUUCAGUGAUGUCCUCUGUUUUUUUCUGCCGACUUCCCCCUCCUGCUAUUCCCCAGGGAAUCCAAGGCUCUGCCUCCAGGAACAGAUGUUUCCCACCUGUUCCUCUUCCAUAUGGCUUCACAAGGGAUCUUCAUGAAACAUACACUCCCGCCCCAAUCUAAGACCCUUCAUGUCUCGUUAAAACAGUGAAGAUAAAGUUAAACUCCCCUAGAGUGGUCCCCAGGGCUAUUUUCUUUUUCUUUUUUUUUUUUUUAAGACGGAGUUUUGCUCUGUCGCCCAGGCUGGAGUGCAGUGGCUGGAUCUCGGCUCACUGCAAGCUCCGCCUCCCGGAUUCAUGCCAUUCUCCUGCCUCAGCCUCCUGAGUAGCUGGGACUACAGGCGCCCGCCACCUCGCCCGGCUAGUUUUUUUGUUUGUUUGUUUGUUUUGUAUUUUUUAGUAGAGACAGGGUUUCACCGUGUUAGCUAGGAUGGUCUCGAUCUCCUGACCUCGUGAUCUGCCCGUCUCGGCCUCCCAAAGUGCUAAAAUUACAGGC
rnacentral:lncRNA from 1 species